rnacentral:rRNA from 1 species
GGCGAGUGGCGGACGGGUGAGGAAUACAUCGGAAUCUGCCCUGUCGUGGGGGAUAACCUCGGGAAAGCGGGACUAAUACCGCAUACGACCUUCGGGUGAAAGAGGGGGAUCGCAAGACCUCUCGCGAUUGGAUGAGCCGAUGUCGGAUUAGCUUGUUGGCGGGGUAAAGGCCCACCAAGGCGACGAUCCGUAGCUGGUCUGAGAGGAUGAUCAGCCACACUGGAACUGAGACACGGUCCAGACUCCUACGGGAGGCAGCAGUGGGGAAUAUUGGACAAUGGGCGCAAGCCUGAUCCAGCCAUGCCGCGUGAGUGAAGAAGGCCUUCGGGUUGUAAAGCUCUUUUGUCCGGAAAGAAAAGCUUCCGAUUAAUACUCGGGAGUCAUGACGGUACCGGAAGAAUAAGCACCGGCUAACUUCGUGCCAGCAGCCGCGGUAAUACGAAGGGUGCAAGCGUUACUCGGAAUUACUGGGCGUAAAGCGUGCGUAGGUGGUUCGUUAAGUCUGAUGUGAAAGCCCUGGGCUCAACCUGGGAAUGGCAUUGGAUACUGGCGGA